GCUGAUCUCCCCCAAGAGUCCACAUCGACGGGGAGGUUUGGCACCUCGAUGUCGGCUCAUCCCAUCCUGGGGGGGCAGUACCUCCCAAGGGUUGGGCUGUUCGCCCAUUAAAGGGGUACGUGAGCUGGGUUCAGACCGUCGUGAGACAGGUCGGUCCCUAUCCACUGCGGGCGCAGGUGGCUUGAGGGGGGCUGCUCCUAGUACGAGAGGACCGGAGUGGACGCACCUCUGGUGUACCGGUUGUCGCGCCAGCGGCACGCGCCGGGUAGCCAUGUGCGGUCGUGANNNNNNNNNNAAGCGCUGAAAGCAUCUAAGCGCGAAGCACGCCCCAAGAUGAGGCCACCCACCGGGUCAACCGGGUAAGGCCCCAGGGAGAACACCUGGUAGAUAGGCCGGAGGUGGAAGCGCGGCAACGCGUGAAGCCGACCGGUACUAAUCGGCCGAGGGCUUGACGGC
rnacentral:rRNA from 1 species